CCUACGGGAGGCAGAAGUAGGGAAUUUUCGGCAAUGGGGGCAACCCUGACCGAGCCACGCCGCGUGAACGAAGAAGUUCUUCGGAGUGUAAAGUUCUUUUAACAGGGAAGAAAGAGAAAUUUUACGGUCCCUGACGCAUAAGCUCCGGCUAACUACGUGCCAUCAGCCGCGGUAAUACGUGGGGAGCAAGCGUUAUCCGGAAUUAUUGGCCGAAAAGGGUGCGUAGAUGGCAUAGUAAGUAUUUUGUAAAAAUGCUGGGCUAAACCCAGGAGUGCAAAAGAUACUGCAAAGUUAGAGUAUGAGAGAGGUAAGCGGAACUAGAUGUGUAGCGGUAAAAUGCGUAAAUAU
rnacentral:rRNA from 1 species